UACGGGGGGAGCAAGCGUUGUUCGGAUUUACUGGGCGUAAAGGGCUCGUAGGUGGCCAACUAAGUCAGACGUGAAAUCCCUCGGCUUAACCGAGGAACUGCGUCUGAUACUGGAUGGCUUGAGUUUGGGAGAGGGAUGCGGAAUUCCAGGUGUAGCGGUGAAAUGCGUAGAUAUCUGGAGGAACACCGGUGGCAGAGGCGCAUCCUGGACCAACACUGACGCUGAACAGCGAAAGCCAGGGGAGCAAACGGG
rnacentral:rRNA from 1 species